UUAAGCGACUAAGCGUACACGGUGGAUGCCCUGGCAGUCAGAGGCGAUGAAGGACGUGCUAAUCUGCGAUAAGCGUCGGUGAGGUGAUAUGAACCGUUAUAACCGGCGAUUUCCGAAUGGGGAAACCCAGUGUGUUUCGACACACUAUCAUUAACUGAAUCCAUAGGUUAAUGAGGCGAACCGGGGGAACUGAAACAUCUAAGUACCCCGAGGAAAAGAAAUCAACCGAGAUUCCCCCAGUAGCGGCGAGCGAACGGGGAGGAGCCCAGAGCCUGAAUCAGUGUGUGUGUUAGUGGAAGCGUCUGGAAAGGCGCGCGAUACAGGGUGACAGCCCCGUACACAAAAAUGCACAUGCUGUGAGCUCGAUGAGUAGGGCGGGACACGUGGUAUCCUGUCUGAAUAUGGGGGGACCAUCCUCCAAGGCUAAAUACUCCUGACUGACCGAUAGUGAACCAGUACCGUGAGGGAAAGGCGAAAAGAACCCCGGCGAGGGGAGUGAAAAAGAACCUGAAACCGUGUACGUACAAGCAGUGGGAGCCUCUUUAUGGGGUGACUGCGUACCUUUUGUAUAAUGGGUCAGCGACUUAUAUUCUGUAGCAAGGUUAACCGAAUAGGGGAGCCGAAGGGAAACCGAGUCUUAACUGGGCGUUAAGUUGCAGGGUAUAGACCCGAAACCCGGUGAUCUAGCCAUGGGCAGGUUGAAGGUUGGGUAACACUAACUGGAGGACCGAACCGACUAAUGUUGAAAAAUUAGCGGAUGACUUGUGGCUGGGGGUGAAAGGCCAAUCAAACCGGGAGAUAGCUGGUUCUCCCCGAAAGCUAUUUAGGUAGCGCCUCGUGAAUUCAUCUCCGGGGGUAGAGCACUGUUUCGGCAAGGGGGUCAUCCCGACUUACCAACCCGAUGCAAACUGCGAAUACCGGAGAAUGUUAUCACGGGAGACACACGGCGGGUGCUAACGUCCGUCGUGAAGAGGGAAACAACCCAGACCGCCAGCUAAGGUCCCAAAGUCAUGGUUAAGUGGGAAACGAUGUGGGAAGGCCCAGACAGCCAGGAUGUUGGCUUAGAAGCAGCCAUCAUUUAAAGAAAGCGUAAUAGCUCACUGGUCGAGUCGGCCUGCGCGGAAGAUGUAACGGGGCUAAACCAUGCACCGAAGCUGCGGCAGCGACGCUUAUGCGUUGUUGGGUAGGGGAGCGUUCUGUAAGCCUGUGAAGGUGUGCUGUGAGGCAUGCUGGAGGUAUCAGAAGUGCGAAUGCUGACAUAAGUAACGAUAAAGCGGGUGAAAAGCCCGCUCGCCGGAAGACCAAGGGUUCCUGUCCAACGUUAAUCGGGGCAGGGUGAGUCGACCCCUAAGGCGAGGCCGAAAGGCGUAGUCGAUGGGAAACAGGUUAAUAUUCCUGUACUUGGUGUUACUGCGAAGGGGGGACGGAGAAGGCUAUGUUGGCCGGGCGACGGUUGUCCCGGUUUAAGCGUGUAGGCUGGUUUUCCAGGCAAAUCCGGAAAACCAAGGCUGAGGCGUGAUGACGAGGCACUACGGUGCUGAAGCGACAAAUGCCCUGCUUCCAGGAAAAGCCUCUAAGCAUCAGGUAACAUCAAAUCGUACCCCAAACCGACACAGGUGGUCAGGUAGAGAAUACCAAGGCGCUUGAGAGAACUCGGGUGAAGGAACUAGGCAAAAUGGUGCCGUAACUUCGGGAGAAGGCACGCUGAUAUGUAGGUGAAGCGACUUGCUCGUGGAGCUGAAAUCAGUCGAAGAUACCAGCUGGCUGCAACUGUUUAUUAAAAACACAGCACUGUGCAAACACGAAAGUGGACGUAUACGGUGUGACGCCUGCCCGGUGCCGGAAGGUUAAUUGAUGGGGUUAGCGGCAACGCGAAGCUCUUGAUCGAAGCCCCGGUAAACGGCGGCCGUAACUAUAACGGUCCUAAGGUAGCGAAAUUCCUUGUCGGGUAAGUUCCGACCUGCACGAAUGGCGUAAUGAUGGCCAGGCUGUCUCCACCCGAGACUCAGUGAAAUUGAACUCGCUGUGAAGAUGCAGUGUACCCGCGGCAAGACGGAAAGACCCCGUGAACCUUUACUAUAGCUUGACACUGAACAUUGAGCCUUGAUGUGUAGGAUAGGUGGGAGGCUUUGAAGUGUGGACGCCAGUCUGCAUGGAGCCGACCUUGAAAUACCACCCUUUAAUGUUUGAUGUUCUAACGUUGGCCCGUAAUCCGGGUUGCGGACAGUGUCUGGUGGGUAGUUUGACUGGGGCGGUCUCCUCCUAAAGAGUAACGGAGGAGCACGAAGGUUGGCUAAUCCUGGUCGGACAUCAGGAGGUUAGUGCAAUGGCAUAAGCCAGCUUGACUGCGAGCGUGACGGCGCGAGCAGGUGCGAAAGCAGGUCAUAGUGAUCCGGUGGUUCUGAAUGGAAGGGCCAUCGCUCAACGGAUAAAAGGUACUCCGGGGAUAACAGGCUGAUACCGCCCAAGAGUUCAUAUCGACGGCGGUGUUUGGCACCUCGAUGUCGGCUCAUCACAUCCUGGGGCUGAAGUAGGUCCCAAGGGUAUGGCUGUUCGCCAUUUAAAGUGGUACGCGAGCUGGGUUUAGAACGUCGUGAGACAGUUCGGUCCCUAUCUGCCGUGGGCGCUGGAGAACUGAGGGGGGCUGCUCCUAGUACGAGAGGACCGGAGUGGACGCAUCACUGGUGUUCGGGUUGUCAUGCCAAUGGCACUGCCCGGUAGCUAAAUGCGGAAGAGAUAAGUGCUGAAAGCAUCUAAGCACGAAACUUGCCCCGAGAUGAGUUCUCCCUGACUCCUUGAGGGUCCUGAAGGAACGUUGAAGACGACGACGUUGAUAGGCCGGGUGUGUAAGCGCAGCGAUGCGUUGAGCUAACCGGUACUAAUGAACCGUGAG
rnacentral:rRNA from 2 species